AGCUUGGAGAGAGCGCUAGUGGUCUCUUAGUGGUUUUAAAGUCGACACUAGUGGUCCCUGGAAAAAUAUUCUGCCGACACUGAUCGGUCUGACGGCAGCCAAUACUGCUGAAAUCUACAAAUCAUUUACUGUAGAUCACCAGAACCAAUGCCAACUGUACCAAUGUCAUCUGAACCGCCAGUAAUGACAUUGACGAACUCGCUCCCAUUGGGUAGCUCAACAUCAGCAGCGGAUACAUCUAAAAUUUCCAAACAUUUUCCUUUAUGUCAACAGAGCGUCACCCGGGUAACUUUUUUGCCUUUAAAGUGCCAUCCGUAAGUCCGAUCAACUUGAAAUUUCAUGAUUGCCUAGUCUGGAGGGUUCUACGUAUUGUGGUUAAAUCUGAGCCGGACUGGACCACCUGGAACUGAGAUAUGACCAAAAACGAACAACUAAUCCUUACGUCAACAGAGAGCAUACCCGGGUAACACAUUGAAUUUUCA